CCUACAUAAUUCAGAUUGCGCAGUAUUUUACUGCAUUUAUGUUUUUAAUCAUUUAUUGUGGAAAAAAUCUUCAAAUUUUAAACUGAUUUAAAAUUACCAUAUUUUCAGUGCCAUACUAAACAAAAAUCACCAUUUAGUGUGGUAUUACUUAUCAGAACCCGAUACCACUCAUGAGGUUCCUUCGAAUCUCGACGUUAGUCCCUUUAAUGCGUUGCAGUAAAUUUGUUAAGUGUAUUUUUCUCCUCUUAAUUCUACUUUUAUUGGUACCAUUAAGGCUUUAUCACAGUUUUUCAAUACAUGUAUUUAGGUAAAAUGGUAUCAAUAUAUUUAUGCGAAUAAAUGGGGGGGGAGGGGGAAAUGUUUUGUACUCAGUAUCUCUGAUCUAUUUCUAAGAACCAAAUAUUGAAUUAAAAAAUUGUAAAUGCUAACAAAUCUGGAAUAAUUUUCGGAAUAGAAAACUCUACUUAA